AUACGUAGGGGGCGAGCGUUGUCCGGAAUCACUGGGCGUAAAGGGUACGUAGGCGGCUAGGUAAGUCAGAUGUGAAAGGCAUGGGCUUAACCCAUGUAAGCAUUUGAAACUGCUUAGCUUGAGUCGAGGAGAGGAAGGCGGAAUUCCUGGUGUAGCGGUGAAAUGCGUAGAUAUCAGGAGGAACACCAGUGGCGAAGGCGGCCUUCUGGCCUUGGACUGACGCUGAGGUACGAAAGCGUGGGGAGCAAACAGGAUUAGAUACCCUGGUAGUCCACGCCGUAAACGAUGAGUGCUAGGUGUCGGGGAUUUAUCUUCGGUGCCGGAGUUAACACAUUAAGCACUCCGCCUGGGGAGUACGUUCGCAAGAAUGAA
rnacentral:rRNA from 1 species